UACGAAGGGGGGCUAGCGUUGCUCGGAAUCACUGGGCGUAAAGGGUGCGUAGGCGGGUCUUUAAGUCAGGGGUGAAAUCCUGGAGCUCAACUCCAGAACUGCCUUUGAUACUGAGGAGCCUUGAGUCCGGGAGAGGUGAGUGGAACUGCGAGUGUAGAGGUGAAAUUCGUAGAUAUUCGCAAGAACACCAGUGGCGAAGGCGGCUCACUGGCCCGGUACUGACGCUGAGGUGCGAAAGCGUGGGGAGCAACAGG
rnacentral:rRNA from 1 species